rnacentral:rRNA from 1 species
CCAAUAGCGUAUAUUAAAGUUGUUGCAGUUAAAAAGCUCGUAGUUGAAUUUCGGGGUUAGCAGGUCGGUCGUGCCACUGGUAUGAACUGGCCUCGCUGAUUCCUCCCUCUUGAUGAGCCGUAAUGUCAUUAAUUUGGUGUUGCGGGGAAUCAGGACUGUUACUUUGAAAAAAUUAGAGUGUUUAAAGCAGGCAAGCGCUUGAAUACAUUAGCAUGGAAUAAUGAAAUAGGACGUUUGAUCUUAUUUUGUUGGUUUCUAAGAUUGACGUAAUGAUUAAUAGGGAUAGUUGGGGGCAUUAGUAUUCAAUUGUCAGCGUUGAAAUUCUUGGAUUUAUUGAAGACUAACUAAUGCGAAAGCAUUUGCCAAGGAUGUUUUCAUUAAUCAAGAACGAAAGUUAGGGGAUCGAAGACGAUCAGAUACCGUCGUAGUCUUAACCAUAAACUAUGCCGACUAGGGAUCGGAUGAUGUUAAUUUUUUAAUGACUCAUUCGGCGCCUUACG